CAAGCCAAAGGCUGCAGAGACACCAAACAUAAAACAAACUGUGCUCCUAAAACGAGAUGAGGACUGAUUCUGUACAUGCACACAGCAACUCAGCACUCAGAUGGAUUACAAGGAACACAGGACAUGCAAUCCUUGUCCCUGCUCAUUGUUUGCUGCUCCCAUCUGCUUGGACCCAGCUGGAAUGUGCUGCUGUGCAUCACACAAACCCCUCUGCUCCGGGGCUCCCUGAUCACUGCCAUGAAGACCCAUCAUCCUACACCACCCCUUUCCAAGAGGGAUCUCCCCCUCCUCUGCACCGGGACAGACAGGCAGGUCUGGAAAAGCCACACAGGACUUGCACCCUCCCCCUGCAACAUGGUGGGAACAAAAGCAGAGGCUCUGGAAGGCAAAUCACCAGAUUUUGAGCUCGGCCAUCAGAGGAGUGAGGAACCCUCACUCACCACAGAAUUAUCAAUGGACCGAGGGACAGUGGAACAAUUCAUGGUUCCAGCCUGACUUGGAAAUUAUGAAUAAAACCCCUCCCUCUUAGGUGAAAACUU